AUUGAACGCUGGCGGCAGGCCUAACACAUGCAAGUCGAGCGGAUGAAGGGAGCUUGCUCCUGGAUUCAGCGGCGGACGGGUGAGUAAUGCCUAGGAAUCUGCCUGGUAGUGGGGGAUAACGUCCGGAAACGGGCGCUAAUACCGCAUACGUCCUGAGGGAGAAAGUGGGGGAUCUUCGGACCUCACGCUAUCAGAUGAGCCUAGGUCGGAUUAGCUAGUUGGUGGGGUAAAGGCCUACCAAGGCGACGAUCCGUAACUGGUCUGAGAGGAUGAUCAGUCACACUGGAACUGAGAAACGGUCCAGCCUCCUACGGGAGGCAGCAGUGGGGAAUAUUGGACAAUGGGCGAAAGCCUGAUCCAGACAUGCCGCGUGUGUGAAGAAGGUCUUCGGAUUGUAAAGCACUUUAAGUUGGGAGGAAGGGCAGUAAGUUAAUACCUUGCUGUUUUGACGUUACCAACAGAAUAAGCACCGGCUAACUUCGUG
rnacentral:rRNA from 1 species